rnacentral:misc_RNA from 1 species
AAUUUCGCUUCUUUAAUUUGAAUUUUCUUUCUUUUUUUUUUAAGGCGAAAUUAUUGUUUGGAUGCUGAGAAUUUUUCUUUCAUUUUUUUUAAUUACUAGCUGUUGUUUGGUUACGGAAUUGAAUAUGAGCAAAAUUUUUGCUUUGAUUUUUCUGCUUGAAGUUGCAUAGGGAAACUCCUUUCCCAAAACAUCAUCAUCGCGUUAGCAUCAUACAAGUGUCUGAGAUUAGUGCUUUCGGUUAUUGCUUCUUAUUAAUGUCAAUGAUGCUAAUUUUUUGUUGAAG